AUACUUGUUUAAUAAAACAUAUUUUAAGAUUGUAAAACUAAAAACAUUCCAAUCAAAUCUUCCCCAAAAUUGUUCCCUGUUCCCCACUCGCACAAAAUUUCGUUUCCCUCUUAAAUUUCACCUCAUCUCAAAGUAUUUCACCUCCAAAUCCCAUCUCCCAAAACUGUCUCCGCCCCCAUCGCCAAUAUCCUAACCGUGACCUCCUUCAGUUUCUGGUUCGGGUCCUCGUCUCUAUAUUCGUCACCCUGUUUUUGCCCCCCUUUAGUUCUCCAAAAUCCCUAUUUACCCAUAGAAGCUAAACAUUGGCUAAGCAACUACAGAUGACGACAAAAGCUUGCUAAGAGAGUUGCAAUUUUCAUCACCUGUUUCUCAUGUAGAGGGUUCGUAAUCGGGUUGCUUAGAGCUAUUGCCGGCGAUUAAACCCGCAGCGAACCAUCACUUCUUGAUCAUCCUAAUCACCCUACUGGAAGCUAUUGCAGCUGCCAUGAACGACAACAGGGAGUUGAUACAUAAACUUCAUUUUUGUAACAACUAUUACAAGUCUUUGCAUUUGAUGUGCUUUGCUUACUCGUCAAGUCAGGCAUGAAAAUUUACUAGUGUGUGGGCAACAAGAUGAUGAACAUUCUUGUGUUUUUCAUACUCGGAUGGACCUUUUUUAUAUUCACCAUAUAAUCUUUGAGUUCCACUGGAUUUAUUGCCCGUUCAAGAGUGUUUGUAAAAGAAAUAUCUUUAAUUAGUGACACUAAGAGUAGAAGAAAUGGAUGUAGAGGUAUGGAUGUCCCACGAGAUGCUUCCUGAAGAUCUGAAGGAAGGUGUGACACUCUAUGAACAACACAACUGGUAAGAAUACAAGGACUCAAUGAAGAAUCUAUCGUAAGGACUUAAGAACAUAAAGCUCUAUGAACAAUACAACUGGCAAGAAAACAUGGAGUCAAUGAAGAAUCUAUUGUUUGAAAACUGCCUAAGGACUUAAGAAAGGACAUAAAGCUCUAUCAACAAUACAACUGGCAACCAAAAUGCCAAAUCUGUUCAUGUCAAAUAACAUCAGGCAUGUAUAAUAUCUCGUUAUGCUCCAGAUCUAUAACUGGUUUGAAGCAAGCAAAAACCCCACAAGUUAGUAGCUAGACAAGGCUGUAUGGAAGGUUUAAUAUUCAAACCCAACUUUCUUGUAUUGCCUUUUCCAUUGUAACUGCCAACUCUUUUUUGUUUGAGUUUGGACAUAUGUAAAAUUAUAAUAUUAAGUUAUCUGUUAUAUUUAUGUUUU